CUUAAUUCAAACCUUCAUUUCCUAGGACCAAGACUCCUGGACCUGGGGCCCAGUCAGCCCUCAGAGCCCUCGCCCGCUCAGGAAUGAAGAUUGGGCGAAUUGAGGAUGUCACCCCCAUCCCCUCUGACAGCACCCGAAGGAAGGGAGGUCGCCGUGGUCGCCGUCUGUGAACAAGACUCAAAUUACUGUUUUCUGUUAAUAAAUUGCCUUUGUGUAAACUA